UGAGGAAUAUUGGUCAAUGGACGUAAGUCUGAACCAGCCAAGUAGCGUGCAGGAUGAAGGCCCUCCGGGUCGUAAACUGCUUUUGGGUGAGGGUAAAAGGCGGGACGUGUCCUGCGUAUUGCAAGUAUCACCCGAAUAAGGACCGGCUAAUUCCGUGCCAGCAGCCGCGGUAAUACGGAAGGUCCGGGCGUUAUCCGGAUUUAUUGGGUUUAAAGGGAGCGCAGGCGGUUCUUCAAGUCAGCUGUGAAAACGCGGGGCUCAACCUCGCGCCUGCAGUUGAUACUGUUGAACUUGAGUGCACACAGGGAUGUUGGAAUUCAUGGUGUAGCGGUGAAAUGCUUAGAUAUCAUGAAGAACUCCGAUCGCGAAGGCAUAUGUCCGGUGUGUUACUGACGCUGAGGCUCGAAAGCGCGGGUAUCGAACAGG
rnacentral:rRNA from 1 species